AUGAGCCGCGCGCUCCUCUCCCACAUCCUCCACCGCCCGCCUCUCCUCGCGUACGCGCGCUCUCCUUCUUCCCACCCUCUCUCGUGCGCCCUGAACGCCUGGGCUGUCGGAGCUGACGCUGAUACUUUUUUUUAUGUCUCCCGCCGUUUGGGCUUCGCGCGCAGGUCGAGGAGUGGCGUCCGAGGAGGAGCGCUGCCUUCCCGCCUCCGCGCUCUCCGCCUCAACUGCAGCGCGGCUGAAGCAACCGCCUCGGCCGAUGAGGCGCCUGCUCCCCCGGCGAGGAAGAAAAGAGUAGUUUCUGGUGUACAGCCAACAGGAAUGGUGCACCUUGGAAAUUAUCUUGGCGCUAUUAAGAACUGGGUUGCACUUCAGGAUUUGUAUGAGACAUUCUUUUUCAUUGUGGACCUGCAUGCGAUUACUUUGCCAUAUGAUGCACCAGAGCUAUCUAAAGCUACAAGAAGCACCGCUGCAAUUUAUCUAGCAUGCGGCAUUGAUAGCUCCAAGGCUUCUAUUUUUGUACAGUCUCAUGUCCGUGCCCAUAUUGAGCUGAUGUGGCUGCUGAGUUCUUCAACUCCUAUUGGUUGGCUGAAUAAAAUGAUUCAGUUCAAAGAGAAAUCACGCAAGGCGGGUAAUGAAAAUGUUGGAGUGGCACUUUUGACGUACCCUGUUCUAAUGGCUUCUGACAUCCUUCUGUACCAGUCCGAUUUGGUACCUGUUGGGGAAGAUCAGACACAACAUUUGGAAUUAACUCGUGAAAUUUCUGAACGUGUAAAUAAUCUAUAUGGUGGAAGAAAGUGGAAGAAAUUGGGAGGGAGAGGCGGUUCAUUAUUUAAGGUUCCUGAAGCCCUUAUCCCUCCAGCAGGGGCCCGUGUGAUGUCCUUAACUGAUGGCCUCUCCAAGAUGUCGAAGUCUGCUCCUUCAGAUUUGUCUCGCAUUAACCUUCUUGACCCAAAAGAUGUGAUUGUGAACAAAAUCAAACGCUGCAAAACUGACUCGCUCCCUGGCUUGGAAUUCGACAACCCAGAGAGGCCGGAAUGCAAAAAUCUUCUCUCAGUCUACCAGAUCAUCACUGGAAAAACGAAAGAGGAAGUUGUUAGUGAAUGCCAAGAUAUGAACUGGGGGACGUUCAAGGUUACCCUUACGGAUGCCUUAAUUGAUCAUCUGCAACCUAUUCAGGUUCGAUACGAGGAGAUCAUGUCUGAUCCAGGUUAUUUGGACAAUGUUCUGCUAAAUGGGGCAGGGAAAGCUUCUGAGAUAGCAGACGCCACCCUCAACAACGUCUACCAAGCCAUGGGUUUCUUGCGCAGAUAG
rnacentral:rRNA from 1 species